AGCAGCCGCGGUAAUUCCAGCUCCAAUAGCGUAUAUUAAAGUUGUUGCAGUUAAAAAGCUCGUAGUUGAAUUUCGGGGUCAGUAGAUUGGUCGUGCCACUGGUAUGUACUGGUCUUACUGGCUCCUCCUUCCUGAUGAACCGUAAUGCCAUUAAUUUGGUGUUGCGGGGAGACUGGACUGUUACUUUGAAAAAAUUAGAGUGUUUAAAGCAGGCUAACGCUUGAAUACAUUAGCAUGGAAUAAUGAAAUAGGACGUUCGAUCUUAUUUUGUUGGUUUCUAGGAUUGACGUAAUGAUUAAUAGGGAUAGUUGGGGGCAUUAGUAUUCAAUUGUCAGAGGUGAAAUUCUUGGAUGUAU
rnacentral:rRNA from 1 species